rnacentral:rRNA from 1 species
UAGUCUUUUAAUUAAAGACUGGGAAUGAAUGGUCUCACUGAGUAAUCAUGUCUUAUUGUUAUAUUUCAAAUUUUAUAUUUUAGUAAAAAAGCUAAAAUUUCCUUUAAAGACAAGAAGACCCUAUUAAGCUUUAUAAUUAUAAUUUAACAUCAAUAUAAAUAAAAAAUUAUUUUACUGGGGCAGUAGAUAAAACAAAAUUUUAUUUUUAAAAUGUGACAACAAUUCUAUAAAAACCAAAAAAUUUUUAAAAAGAAAUAAGUUACUAUAGGGAUAACAGCAUAAUUNGCUUUAAGAGUUCUUAUCAUCAAGAAAGUUU